GAUCCUGGCUCAGGAUGAACGCUAGCUACGGGCUUAACACAUGCAAGUCGAGGGGAAACGACAUCGAAAGCUUGCUUUUGAUGGGCGUCGACCGGCGCACGGGUGAGUAACGCGUAUCCAACCUGCCCAUCACUUGGGAAUAACCUUGCGAAAGUAAGACUAAUACCCAAUGAUAUCCCACGAAGGCAUCCGAAUGGGAUUAAAGAUUUAUCGGUGAUGGAUGGGGGAUGCGUCUGAUUAGCUUGG
rnacentral:rRNA from 1 species